rnacentral:rRNA from 1 species
GAUUCGUCACACUAUCAUUAACUGAAUCCAUAGGUUAAUGAGGCGAACCGGGGGAACUGAAACAUCUAAGUACCCCGAGGAAAAGAAAUCAACCGAGAUUCCCCCAGUAGCGGCGAGCGAACGGGGAGGAGCCCAGAGCCUGAAUCAGCAUGUGUGUUAGUGGAAGCGUCUGGAAAGGCGCGCGAUACAGGGUGACAGCCCCGUACACAAAAGCGCAUGUGCUGUGAGCUCGAUGAGUAGGGCGGGACACGUGGUAUCCUGUCUGAAUAUGGGGGGACCAUCCUCCAAGGCUAAAUACUCCUGACUGACCGAUAGUGAACCAGUACCGUGAGGGAAAGGCGAAAAGAACCCCGGCGAGGGGAGUGAAAAAGAACCUGAAACCGUGUACGUACAAGCAGUGGGAGCCCCACCACUAAGCCAGUGGUGAACUCCACAUCCGCAUCCUUU